AAUGCAAAUGAUGAGUAUUUUUACCGCCCCAGUCUGAGUUUAAAUGACUGAUUGGUUUCCCUGAUUAUU